GAUGAAGAACGUAGCGAAAUGCGAUAAGUAAUGUGAAUUGCAGAAUUCAGUGAAUCAUCGAAUCUUUGAACGCACCUUGCGCUCCAUGGUAUUCCGAGGAGCAUGCCUGUUUGAGUGUCAUUAAAUUCUCAACCUCACCAACUUUGGUUGUGUGAAGGCUUGGAUGUGGGGGUUGCAGGUCCACUUUGGUGGUCUGCUCCUCUAAAAUGUAUUAGUGGGUUAGUCCCCUUAUCUAUUGGUGUGAAAAUUAUCUACGCCGUGGAUUGGGAUGGCUAUAUAGACUUGCUUCUAACCGUCCUCACGGACAACUUUGACAUUUUUGACCUCAAAUCAGGUAAGACUACCCGCUGAACUUAAGCAUAUCAAUAAGCGGAGGA
rnacentral:misc_RNA from 1 species